UGGGGAAUCUUGGACAAUGGGGGCAACCCUGAUCCAGCCAUGCCGCGUGAGUGAUGAAGGCCUUAGGGUCGUAAAGCUCUUUCGCCUGUGAAGAUAAUGACGGUAGCAGGUAAAGAAACCCCGGCUAACUCCGUGCCAGCAGCCGCGGUAAUACGGAGGGGGUUAGCGUUGUUCGGAAUUACUGGGCGUAAAGCGCACGUAGGCGGACCAGAAAGUUGGGGGUGAAAUCCCGGGGGCUCAACCCCGGAAACUGCCUCCAAAACUAUUGGUCUAGAGUUCGAGAGAGGUGAGUGGAAUUCCAAGUGUAGAGGUGAAAAUUCGUAGAUAUUUGGAGGAACACCAGUGGCGAAAGGCGGCUCACUGGCUCGAUAACUGACGCUGAGGUGCGAAAAGUGUGGGGAGCAAAACAGGAUUAGAUACCCU
rnacentral:rRNA from 1 species